AUUGAACGCUGGCGGCAGGCCUAACACAUGCAAGUCGAGCGGGGUUUUCGGACCUAGCGGCGGACGGGUGAGUAAUGCGUAGGAAGCUACCCGAUAGAGGGGGAUACCAGUUGGAGACGACUGUUAAUACCGCAUAAUGUCUACGGACCAAAGUGUGGGACCUUCGGGCCACAUGCUAUCGGAUGCGCCUACGUGGGAUUAGCUAGUUGGUGAGGUAAUGGCUCACCAGGGCGACGAUCCCUAGCUGGUUUGAGAGGAUGAUCAGCCACACUGGAACUGAGACACGGUCCAGACUCCUACGGGAGGCAGCAGUGGGGAAUAUUGGACAAUGGGCGCAAGCCUGAUCCAGCCAUGCCGCGUGUGUGAAGAAGGCCUUCGGGUUGUAAAGCACUUUCAGUAGGGAGGAAGCGUUGUGUGUUAAUAGUACACAGCGUUGACGUUACCUACAGAAGAAGCACCGGCUAACUCUGUGCCAGCCGCCGCCGUAAAAC
rnacentral:rRNA from 1 species